AACGCACAUUGCGCCCAUUAGUAUUCUAGUGGGCAUGCCUGUUCGAGCGUCAUUACAACCCUUAAGCCUCAGUCGCUUAGCGUUGGGAGCCUUGUGCCCACGGCAUAAACUCCUCAAAGUUAUUGGCAGAGUUACGGCAUACUCUAAGCGUAGUAAUUAUUUUCUCGCUUCUGGGAGUGUCGUGGCAAUCGCCAUAAGCCUCUAUAUUUCUAGUGGUUGACCUCGGAUCAGGUAGGAAUACCCGCUGAACUUAA
rnacentral:misc_RNA from 1 species